UCCACCUGUCUCAGCCUCCCAGAGUGCUAGAAUUACAGGCAUGAGCCACUGUGCCCAGCAAAAGUAACAUAUAUUCAUGAGAAUAAACACUUCAUGGUGAAAUGUGUAUGUUGA
rnacentral:miRNA from 1 species